AUUCAAGCCGUGGGUACCAAGCAAGAUCAAUGUUUUGUCUUACGACUUAGUCUAAAGACUAAAGUUUGCAGCCGUGGGUACCAUUUACCUUCCACCAAACAUAACGCAAUCCAAUCUUUUGUCUAAGAGAUUGGUUACUUCGAACCUCAAGUCUCUGUCUAAAGAUCUUUUUAAGCCGUGGGUAACUUGGGCUUUGUCUAAAGACUAAAACAAGAAACAAAACAUAAUCCAUAUGUCUAGAGAUAUUCAAGCCGUGGGUACCAAGCAGGAUCAAUGUUCAGUCUCACGUCUCAGUCUAAAGACUAAAGUUUGAAGCUGUGGGUGCCAUUUACCUUCCACCAAACAUAACCUAAUCCAAUAUUUUGUCUAAAGGAUUAGUUACUUUGAACCUCAAGUCUCUGUCUAAAGACUGUUUUAAGCCGUGGGUAUCUUGAGCUUUGUCUAAAGACUGAAACAAGAAACAGAACAUGAUCCAAAUGUCUAGAAAUUUUCAAGGCGUGGGUACCAAGCAUGAUCAAUG